rnacentral:misc_RNA from 1 species
AUUUUGCAAAUAGCAACCAAUAGCAACGCGAUAAUAAAUGUAAGCGAAAGUGUCACGACACAGGUUAUGCACUGUUUCAGAGUCGCACAUCGCACAAUGCCGUCGUGUUCGUUUAAACAGUGUAAAAAUACGUCACGAAAUAAUAAACAUGUUAGGCAUUUUUCAUUUCCAAAAAAUGAAGAAAUGAUUGCGCAGUAGAAAAGACUUUGCAAAGAAAAUGUCAAUGCAAAGAACGCUCGGGUUUGUUCUCAACAUUUUAAGACCUCGCAAUAUAAAGAUCGGUCAUUUUUACGUGAGAUACUACCUAUACAGGGUGUCCCAGACCUACCGUAUCACCGGUUAAUGGUAGAUUCCUGAGGUGAUUCUGA